UUGCUUUAGCAGCACAUAUACUAAAAUUGGAAUGAUACAGAGAAGAUUAGCAUGGACCCCGCGCAAGAAUGACACACAAGAUGACUCAGCAGUUAUGCCAUAUCU
ensembl:snRNA U6 U6 spliceosomal RNA